rnacentral:tRNA from 1 species
GCCGGAUUAGCUCAGUGGUAGAGCAAGUCCCUUGUAAGGAUUAGGUCAUCCGUUCGAAUCGGAUAUCCGGCUCCA